rnacentral:lncRNA from 1 species
UUAAAGUCUGGACUCUGGCAGAGUGGGGACAAGAGCCCCAUCAGACAAAGGAAUUUAUUUUGACCAAUGGACAAAAUGCAAGAUAUAAUUAUUAUGAUUACCAAAUUGCUUGGGAACGAGCAUUCCUUAAGCAAAAUGACCAAAUGUCUAUUUCUUUCUUUUUCUAUAUCUCUGACAAUUUUGAAUACCCAAUACCAUAUUGGUUCCAUCAAUGGUGGAAUAAAUUUGGUAUACAUACAGACAUUAUCC